CGUACGUAUUGUUGACUAAACGAUCAGGUAUACCACGCCACGUAUCAUCCCCUCUUUCCAUAGAGGAGAGAUAAAGAAAAAUCGAAGAUAUAGUGAUCGUGCCGUAAGACCUUGUUCCUUUCUACUUGACUAAGUAGUAUUCCACUCGUGCAGUGGGUGUAUGGGCUAGCCCAUGGUGCGGUCAGCUAUGAUAUACUCAACUUCUUCUUUAGUAGGUUUAUCUACAACAUCUGGUGGUGCCCUCGUGGGCACGUUCCUCUCUGGGGCGGUCUGGUCUAAUCGAAGUCAACUGACUCACAUGGAAUACGGGGUUCGUUUUCACCGAGCUGGUCGCUUGAGUCUAUAGGCUACCUUUCCUAUCCGCUUUUCUACAAGGUCUACUUUCAGACCGGGCCAAGCCUUUAGGUUGUUUAAGUAGGUUUGGGCUAAGGUCGUUGCGCUCCUGCCACCUCUUGGCAAAGUAGGCUGAUGGGCAAGCCCCCUCCUGUCGCAAU
rnacentral:lncRNA from 1 species